UACAGAGGUCUCAAGCGUUGUUCGGAUUCAUUGGGCGUAAAGGGUGCGUAGGCGGCGCGGUAAGUCGGGUGUGAAAUCUCGGAGCUUAACUCCGAAACUGCAUUCGAUACUGCCGUGCUUGAGGACUGGAGAGGAGACUGGAAUUUACGGUGUAGCGGUGAAAUGCGUAGAUAUCUGGAGGAAUACCGGUGGCGAAGGCGGCACCCUGGACCGACAUUGACGCUGAAAACCGAAAGCUAGGGGAGCAAACGGG
rnacentral:rRNA from 1 species